GCGAGAGUGGCGAAACUGGCAGACGCGCUGGACUUAGGAUCCAGUGGGCGAAAGCCCUUGGGGGUUCGACUCCCCCCUCUCGCACCA
rnacentral:tRNA from 1 species